GGUGAGUGUCCCUGGGUUUCCGUAGCCAUCUUUCAGUUACCCAGACAAUUCCUCAAGGUGAGUGUUUAUCUCUGAGAAUUCCUGGGAGGCAAAUUCAGGUGUGAGGUGCAUAUGUGUUGAGGGGGGUGGGUAUCUUAAGACCCAGAACCAUCCUACCUUUCACUUUCAGUUUCUGUUUUUAAUACCAUGAAGUAAAUCAUUUACCUUUUAGAAAAUUGUUCAUGGGUAACCAGUGACCAGAAAAUCUAUGGACAGAGACCUACCUGCCUCUCUGCCUCUGCCUCUGCCUCUGCCUCUGCCUCUGCCUCUCUGCCUCUCUCUGCCUCUCUCUGCCUCUCUGCCUCUCUCUGCCUCUCUCUGCCUCUCUCUGCCUCUCUCUGCCUCUCUCUCUCUGCUUCUCUCUGCUUCUCUCUGCUUCUCUCUGCUUCUCUCUGCUUCUCUCUGCUUCUCUCUGCUUCUCUCUGCUUCUCUCUGCUUCUCUCUGCUUCUCUCUGCUUCUCUCUGCUUCUCUCUGCUUCUCUCUGCUUCUCUCUGCUUCUCUCUGCUUCUCUCUGCUUCUCUCUGCUUCUCUCUGCCGCAAGAAAAUGAAUGACAGGCUAGUCACAGCUUAGCCAUGAUGUUUGAGCCUGAGCCAUCUGUCUGCAUGGCACAGAUUCAUCUAUCUGUGCUUUAAGUGAGAUAUUCAACCGAGCUAGUACU
rnacentral:lncRNA from 1 species